rnacentral:snRNA from 1 species
GGAGAGAGAAACAGGGACA